UUUAACUCCUACGGUGGCCAAUGUAGUCCAAGAUUAACAUGGCUUCCAGUUCGACCUCGUCCAUGAGUGUUCCUUCAAGUGAUGACGCGAAGCUUGAAUUAACGGGUAUGUCCCUCUUUGGCUAAUGUACUUUCAAGAUGGAGGGGCAACAUGGCGACCGACAUUAGAACCCCUCACCCGUAUGUAUUUUCAAUGGCAUAUUAUACACUCACGAGAAUACUUUAUUACUUGAACGAAGUAAAUAUACAUUAAUGAGCACAUAUAUUUUUGAAAGAACUAAG